CGAAUUACCCUGUUUUGGACAUAGUGAGAUCCGUUUGUGUGGUUGCACUGAUAACUCCUUGUUCCUCUUUUUGCAGACCUGUCAGUUUUGGGAAGUUUUGGCUCAUAUUCUAGCCCAGGAGCAUCCUGUUAACAGGAAAAAAGCCUUCCUUGCCUCAACUGGGAAGAUGCUGUAGCUGAUGCUUCAGUCUCUGAAGACCUAGUCCUGGGAAUUUGACCAGUUCUACAGAAGGAUGUAGGCCAAACAAACUUUCACUCUGGAACCACAAACGGCAGAGGAUCAAAACCACCCGAGGAGGAUGGUGCUACCACCCAUUUUCUGUAGUAAAGGGUAAUCAGUAUGGACACUUUGAAAAUAAAAGAAAAUUCACUGCAGUCAGGCUGCUGCAAGAUCUUUGUAUUGCAAUUUGGACAGUUACCUAAAUCCUCUACCAGUUGUAAACAAGAAUAUCUGUAACUAUCCUGAAGACAUUUCAGUAUUAUUAAACCAUAUUUGUUUUAAAUUUUCAU